AUUGAACGCUGGCGGCAGGCCUAACACAUGCCAGUCGAGCGGAUGAAGGGAGCUUGCUCCUGGAUUCAGCGGCGGACGGGUGAGUAAUGCCUAGGAAUCUGCCUGGUAGUGGGGGAUAACGUCCGGAAACGGGCGCUAAUACCGCAUACGUCCUGAGGGAGAAAGUGGGGGAUCUUCGGACCUCACGCUAUCAGAUGAGCCUAGGUCGGAUUAGCUAGUUGGUGGGGUAAAGGCCUACCAAGGCGACGAUCCGUAACUGGCCUGAGAGGAUGAUCAGUCACACUGGAACUGAGACACGGUCCAGACUCCUACGAGAGGCAGCAGUGGGGAAUAUUGGACAAUGGGCGAAAGCCUGAUCCAGCCAUGCCGCGUGUGUGAAGAAGGUCUUCGGAUUGUAAAGCACUUUAAGUUGGGAGGAAGGGCAGUAAGUUAAUACCUUGCUGUUUUGACGUUACCAACAGAAUAAGCACCGGCUAACUUCGUG
rnacentral:rRNA from 1 species